UUUGGGGGAGGGGGAGGGGGGCUAGGAGAAAUUACUGAGAAAGGAUAAGUGACACCCUCAAGCCGGGCCUUCCUGACCUCACAUGACAUGCCUUAGUGAACUGCUGCUUCUCCGUGAAGGAUGAGUCGGGGAGGGGCUCGCAGGCCAGGAGGACAGUGCCUGAGCCCCUGGUCUCUGCCUCCAGUUCUGCAGGAAUUCUCCAAGGAGGAGCGAGACCCAGUGAAAACUCAUGAAGGCUGGGGGGUGAUGUUGCCCUGUAACCCACCUGCCCACUACCCAGGCUUGUCCUACCGCUGGCUCCUCAACGAGUUCCCCAACUUCAUCCCGACGGACGGGCGUCACUUCGUGUCCCAGACCACAGGGAACCUGUACAUUGCCCGAACCAAUGCCUCAGACCUGGGCAACUACUCCUGUUUGGCCACCAGCCACAUGGACUUCUCCACCAAGAGCGUCUUCAGCAAGUUUGCUCAGCUCAACCUGGCUGCUGAAGAUACCCGGCUCUUUGCACCCAGCAUCAAGGCCCGGUUCCCAGCAGAGACCUAUGCACUGGUGGGGCAGCAGGUCACCCUGGAGUGCUUCGCCUUUGGGAACCCUGUCCCCCGGAUCAAGUGGCGCAAAGUGGACGGCUCCCUGUCCCCGCAGUGGACCACAGCUGAGCCCACUCUGCAGAUCCCCAGCGUCAGCUUUGAGGAUGAGGGCACCUACGAGUGUGAGGCGGAGAACUCCAAGGGCCGAGACACCGUGCAGGGCCGCAUCAUCGUGCAGGCUCAGCCUGAGUGGCUAAAAGUGAUCUCGGACACAGAGGCUGACAUUGGCUCCAACCUGCGUUGGGGCUGUGCAGCCGCCGGCAAGCCCCGGCCUACAGUGCGCUGGCUGCGGAACGGGGAGCCUCUGGCCUCCCAGGUAGGAGACAUGGGGCUUCCCCCCACACAUCACAACUGUCCUCUGCUCACUUGGUUCCCUCCCCCGCCCAGAACUUCCCCUGCACCACUAGUAGCCCCUCUGGGCUAAUUAGGGUGUCACAGGGUGGUCCUAGGACGACCUAAGGACUUCUUCCCAUCCCAGUCCCACUGUCACAGGCUAGGCCUGGAUCCAGGCACAGUUCAGCCACAAAAGAAGUGAUGUGGUCCUGACUGGGUCACCUCACCCUUCCAGCUUUGGGGAGGCCUGGGUAAUCUGCAUCCUGAGGUUCCAGGCAGCCCUGAGGUAGGACUGGACAUAUGAGCCAUAUCCUCUA
rnacentral:sRNA from 1 species